GCUGGGUGCAGUGGCAUGCACCUAUAGUCACGGCUACUUGGAAGCUGAGGUGAAUCACCUGAGCCCAGGAGUUCCAGGCUAUAGGAGGCUAUACCAACCGGAGGUCUACACUAAGUUUGGUAUCAUAUGGUGACCUCCCGGGUAUAGGGAAAUCACCAGGUUGUCUAAGGAGGGGUGAACCAGUCAAAGUCAGAAAUGAAGCAAGUCAAAACUCCUGUGCUGAUCAGUAGUGGGAUUACGCCUGUGAAUAAAUAGCCCCUGCAAUCCAGCCUGAGCAACAUAGCAAGACCCAUUCUCAA
rfam:Homo sapiens chromosome 15, GRCh38 reference primary assembly.